CGGGGUGUUCACAGACUCCCUUAGCCCGCCAGCAUGCUGCAUAUAAGGCCUUUGUCGAGCAUAGGAAUCUCGAGGUGCGAGAGUACUUGCAACGAGUGAAGGCAAAUGAUGAUUACAACCGUCAGAUGAUGGCGGCUAUGUUGGCGUCUUGGAGUAACCGCACGGAUCCACCACAAAUGGGACCCCCACCACCACCUGCGGGAGAAUCCCCACACGUGCCCACGUUCGAUGAAUGGGUGGCACUAGGCAGUGAUAGUCCGGUUAGUACAUUUGCCUAACUACUGACAAACUAGUUCUCGUUCAUUCAACACUAUCAUAUCGUAUUUACCGUUAGAAUCUUCUCUCAAACAUGUAGGGGACCGGUG